UCCUUGGUAGUCCAGUGCUUAUGACUCUGCACUCCCAAUGCAGGGGGCCUGGGUUCAAUCCUUGGUCAGGAAA
rnacentral:tRNA from 1 species